UGGCGACCGGCGCACGGGUGAGUAACACGUAUGCAACCUGCCCCUGUCAGGGGGACAACCCGCCGAAAGGCGGGCUAAACCCGCGUACAUGCCACCGGGGCAUCCCGGAGGCAGGAAAGGCUUCGGCCGGACAGGGAUGGGCAUGCGGCGCAUUAGGCAGUAGGCGGGGUAACGGCCCACCUAACCGACGAUGCGUAGGGGUUCUGAGAGGAAGGUCCCCCACACUGGUACUGAGACACGGACCAGACUCCUACGGGAGGCAGCAG
rnacentral:rRNA from 1 species